rnacentral:rRNA from 1 species
ACGUACACUCCUGCGGGAGGCAGCAGUGGGGAAUAUUGCACAAUGGGCGCAAGCCUGAUGCAGCCAUGCCGCGUGUAUGAAGAAGGCCUUCGGGUUGUAAAGUACUUUCAGCGGGGAGGAAGGCAAUACGGUUAAUAACCGUGUUGAUUGACGUUACCCGCAGAAGAAGCACCGGCUAACUCCGUGCCAGCAGCCGCGGUAAUACGGAGGGUGCAAGCGUUAAUCGGAAUUACUGGGCGUAAAGCGCACGCAGGCGGUCUGUCAAGUCGGAUGUGAAAUCCCCGGGCUCAACCUGGGAACUGCAUUCGAAACUGGCAGGCUUGAGUCUUGUAGAGGGGGGUAGAAUUCCAGGUGUAGCGGUGAAAUGCGUAGAGAUCUGGAGGAAUACCGGUGGCGAAGGCGGCCCCCUGGACAAAGACUGACGCUCAGGUGCGAAAGCGUGGGGAGCAAACAGGAUUAGAAACCCGUGUAGUCCC